rnacentral:lncRNA from 10 species
ACAGGUGUGUGCUUAACACACUUCACCCAGCUCUGGAACAACAUCUUGCCAGAUUAGCCCAGCAGAGGGAGAGGAACCUCAGCAUGCACCAGGCAGGCACAGAAACAUGGAAUCACAGUGCUCUGCUGUGGAGAACACAUGACUACCAUUCCACCUGUGAGCAGACGUCCCAGCAAACAGACAGCCUGGCUAGCCUCUCCCAUUUUAGGGACAGAGAACCCGGACAGGCCCAGAAGAAUUGAGCUGAUCCUUCUGCUCCAAGGCAUUUGACGUGUGAGGGUAGGUGCUGGCCCUGGCAUUCAGACUGAGGUUGACACAUAUGACACGUCUUCCCACAUAAGCAAAACUUCAUCUCUCAGCAGACUCCUUGGAAUAGAACAACAAGUUCACUUGCCAGUGAGGGAAAGACCACAUUACCCUUCUCCCAAGAAUCUUGGUACAUAUUAUCCCAGAUGAGGGAUCUUUUUAUUACACUAGUUUUUCGCACAUAUACACAUCCGUCAACCUAACCCUGAAAUUUAGUGUAACCACAUGUGCUAAAGAUUGUAACAGAGAAAGGGUAGCGAACAGAUUGUUUUAGUUUAUCAAGACAUAAAUAACGUAACUUCAUUUUUUAUAUUAAAAAAAGUCUUGUCCAUAUCUGUAAGUCAUUGGUUCUCAAUCGGGGAUGACUUUGCCCUCCAGGUGGCCUUGGUUCUCAAAAUGUGUGUGGAGAUCUUACAGAUAGCUAAUGUAUUGAGGCCAAGGAUGCUGAUAAACAUCUUAGCACAGAACAACCCUCCACAACAAAGAAUUAUUUGGCCCUGAAUGUCAAUAGCGCUGAGGUGGAAAAACCCUGGUAUACUCUCAAGACUGAAUGAGUGGAUGUAUUGGUGAUAUUUUCUAUUUUCUGUGUUUUAUGAUGUUUUGACAUCUUACAAAGUUUGCUGGCUAGGGAGAGACUGCCCCUGCUAGGACUAGCCCUAUUUUAGAGAUAGCAAAAGGCUUGGCCAAUCUCCAGACCAACCGAUCUCAAGUCUGUAGCCCUAGCCACCUCCUUGUCUAACUCUCAUACACUGAGCCACUAUUUCCCCUGCACUUGAUUAUCCUGGGGCCAGGAACCAGGCAACUGGAAACAACUCCUAUAGCCCAAAUCCUGACAGAAUGACUCAAACUAACUGGUCCUGAAUUAUACACUCUGCACUGCCUUGCCUUUUUCAUAGAAACCCCAAUAAAGACUCUGGCUAAGAGGUUCCCGCUAGCUCUUCUCCCACCUGACCAAAACCAGGAGCUUCCCCUCUGGCCCUGUGGGACAUGCAUGUGUGACCCCCUCCUCUGGGACCUGUGAGCACAGUAAACUUCUUCCUUCCAAGUCUUGCUCCCAUUUCCUCAUGAGACCUCGCAUUUCCUCCUGUCACUGCACAGAAUUUAUGCUUUCAUGUACAGCAUAUGUACCUUCCUACAGCAGUGGGUACCAAAGAGAAUUCCCUACCUGAGUCUUCAUAUCUGGCAUAUCUCUGGAAAAUCCACUUUAAAAGUAAUAACAGAGAAACAAUUCACAUACUUUUUCAGGGCGCUUCUUUCUUGACGAUCUUCCUCCAGUUCUCGGUAAAAAGUCUGUUUGCUAAUUUCUUUUUCCCAGAAGCUUUUGAGCUCAUGACAAGUUCCACAGCAGAAGACUUCUCGACGGAUGUAUUGAUUGUUCAUCCCCUGAAAUAUACAAGUAAAGCAAAUCCCACUUCUUUAAAUAAAGCCACUCUAGGUUUGGAGUGAUAGAAAGAUGAGCUUGCAUGUAGACACUGCCAUUUACACUUGUUUUUUUUUUUUUUUUUGGUGACUGUAGACACAUCACACACUUGUAUUCUGAGUCUGUUUCCUCAACUGCAAAUGGGAAUAAUAAUAGCUAUGCCAGAAAACAUCAUGAAAAAUUUUGAAUUAGACAAAACCAAAAAGAGUAUCUGGUAACUCUUCCAAAUUAUCUGAUUUUAAGGCUUGCCCUUUUCACUGUCUUUGAGCUAUUUGACAAUUUUGUAAAUUAUAGAAAAAUUAUAGAAAUGAAAAUGUUCAUGAACAGAGAAAUCCAAAGAAAUUCUGUGCAGUGGAAUGCAAUUGCUCUACCUACGAAUAUCAAUUUUUUCAUUGAUGUAUUUUUAAAAUUUUCUUUUGACUCA